rnacentral:rRNA from 1 species
CACGCCCGUAAACGAUGAGAGCUAGUCGUUGGAGAGUUCGCUCUUCGGUGACGCAGCUAACGCAUUAAGCUCUCCGCCUGGGGAGUACGGUCGCAAGAUUAAAACUCAAAUGAAUUGACGGGGACCCGCACAAGUAGUGGAGCAUGUGGUUUAAUUCGAAGAUACGCGCAGAACCUUACCAACACUUGACAUGUUCGUCGCGACUUUAAGAGAUUAAAGUUUUCGGUUCGGCCGGACGAAACACAGGUGCUGCAUGGCUGUCGUCAGCUCGUGUCGUGAGAUGUUGGGUUAAGUCCCGCAACGAGCGCAACCCUCACUUUUAGUUGCCAUCAUUUAGUUGGGCACUCUGAAAGAACUGCCAGUGAUAAGCUGGAGGAAGGUGGGGAUGACGUCAAGUCCUCAUGGCCCUUACGUGUUGGGCUACACACGUGCUACAAUGGUAUCUACAACAGGAAGCAAAACGGCGACGUUAAGCAAAUCCUUAAAAGAUACCUCAGUUCGGAUUGCACUCUGCAACUCGAGUGCAUGAAGCUGGAAUUACUAGUAAUCGUGGAUCAGCGUGCCACGGUGAAUGCGUUCCCGGGUCUUGUACACACCGCCCGUCACACCAUGGGAGUUGGUUCUACCUUAAGGCAAGGUUUAAAAUCCUUGACCACGGUAUAGUCAGCGACUGGGGUGAAGUCAUAACAAGGUAGCCGUA